rnacentral:rRNA from 1 species
GUUGUAUGGUUAAGUGACUAAGCGUACACGGUGGAUGCCUUGGCAGUCAGAGGCGAUGAAAGACGUAGUAACUUGCGAUAAGCCCAGAUUAGGUAGUAACAACCAUUUGAGUCUGGGAUUUCUGAAUGGGGAAACCCACGUGCAUAAGCACGUAUCCUUACCUGAAUACAUAGGGUAAGGAGGCGAACCGGGGGAACUGAAACAUCUAAGUACCCCGAGGAAAAGAAAUCAACCGAGAUUCCGAAAGUAGCGGCGAGCGAAAUUGGACUAGCCCUUAAGCUUUACACGCGUUAGACGAACGGUCUGGAAAGUCCGACGAUACAGGGUGAUAGUCCCGUAGUUGACGACGUGUGUUCAGUGAAAUCGAGUAGGGCGGGACACGUGAUAUCCUGUCUGAAUAUGGGGGGACCAUCCUCCAAGGCUAAAUACUACUGACUGACCGAUAGUGAACCAGUACCGUGAGGGAAAGGCGAAAAGAACCCCUGUGAGGGGAGUGAAAUAGAACCUGAAACCGUGUACGUACAAGCAGUAGGAGCAGGCUUUGUCCUGUGACUGCGUACCUUUUGUAUAAUGGGUCAGCGACUUAUAUUCAGUGGCAAGGUUAACCAUCUAGGGGAGCCGUAGGGAAACCGAGUCUUAACUGGGCGUUCAGUCUCUGGAUAUAGACCCGAAACCAGGUGAUCUAGCCAUGGGCAGGUUGAAGGUUGAGUAACAUCAACUGGAGGACCGAACCGACUAAUGUUGAAAAAUUAGCGGAUGACUUGUGGCUAGGGGUGAAAGGCCAAUCAAACCUGGAGAUAGCUGGUUCUCCCCGAAAGCUAUUUAGGUAGCGCCUCGGACGAAUACUACUGGGGGUAGAGCACUGUUAAGGCUAGGGGGUCAUCCCGACUUACCAACCCUUUGCAAACUCCGAAUACCAGUAAGUACUAUCCGGGAGACACACGGCGGGUGCUAACGUCCGUCGUGGAGAGGGAAACAACCCAGACCGCCAGCUAAGGUCCCAAAUUACUACUAAGUGGGAAACGAUGUGGGAAGGCUCAGACAGCCAGGAUGUUGGCUUAGAAGCAGCCAUCAUUUAAAGAAAGCGUAAUAGCUCACUGGUCGAGUCGGCCUGCGCGGAAGAUGUAACGGGGCUAAGUAGUAAACCGAAGCUGCGGCAAUAUACUUUUGNNNNNNNNNNNNNNNNNNNNNNNNNNNNNNNNNNNNNNNNNNNNNNNNNNNNNNNNNNNNNNNNNNNNNNNNNNNNNNNNNNNNNNNNNNNCGAGAGUCGCAGAUACCAGGUGGCUGCAACUGUUUAUUAAAAACACAGCACUGUGCAAAAUCGUAAGAUGACGUAUACGGUGUGACGCCUGCCCGGUGCCGGAAGGUUAAUUGAUGGGGUUAGACUUCGGUCGAAGCUCUUGAUCGAAGCCCCGGUAAACGGCGGCCGUAACUAUAACGGUCCUAAGGUAGCGAAAUUCCUUGUCGGGUAAGUUCCGACCUGCACGAAUGGCGUAAUGAUGGCCACGCUGUCUCCACCCGAGACUCAGUGAAAUUGAAAUCGCUGUGAAGAUGCAGUGUACCCGCGGCUAGACGGAAAGACCCCGUGAACCUUUACUACAGCUUGGCACUGAACAUUGACCCUACAUGUGUAGGAUAGGUGGGAGGCUUUGAAGCACGUACGCUAGUAUGUGUGGAGCCGUCCUUGAAAUACCACCCUUGUAGUGUUGAUGUUCUAACGUCGACCCCUUAUCGGGGUUGCGGACAGUGCCUGGUGGGUAGUUUGACUGGGGCGGUCUCCUCCCAAAGAGUAACGGAGGAGCACGAAGGUGGGCUAAUCACGGUUGGACAUCGUGAGGUUAGUGCAAUGGCAUAAGCCCGCUUGACUGCGAGAAUGACAAUUCGAGCAGGUGCGAAAGCAGGUCAUAGUGAUCCGGUGGUUCUGAAUGGAAGGGCCAUCGCUCAACGGAUAAAAGGUACUCCGGGGAUAACAGGCUGAUACCGCCCAAGAGUUCAUAUCGACGGCGGUGUUUGGCACCUCGAUGUCGGCUCAUCACAUCCUGGGGCUGAAGUCGGUCCCAAGGGUAUGGCUGUUCGCCAUUUAAAGUGGUACGCGAGCUGGGUUUAGAACGUCGUGAGACAGUUCGGUCCCUAUCUGCCGUGGGCGUUGGAAGAUUGAAGGGGGCUGCUCCUAGUACGAGAGGACCGGAGUGGACGAACCUCUGGUGUUCGGGUUGUGUCGCCAGACGCAUUGCCCGGUAGCUAAGUUCGGAAUCGAUAACCGCUGAAAGCAUCUAAGCGGGAAGCGAGCCCUGAGAUGAGUCUUCCCUGAUACUUUAAGUAUCCUAAAGGGUUGUCGGAGACUACGACGUUGAUAGGUCAGGUGUGUAAGUGCUGUGAGGCAUUGAGCUAACUGAUACUAAUUGCCCGUGAGGCUUAACCAUACAACACCCAAGGGGUUU